rnacentral:rRNA from 1 species
CUCUUAAAGCUUGUCUCAGUUCGGAUAGGAGUCUGCAACUCGACUCCUUGAAGUUGGAGUCGCUAGUAAUCGCAAAUCAGCAAAGUUGCGGUGAAUACGUUCUCGGGGUUUGUACACACCGCCCGUCAAGUCACGGAAGUCGGCAAUACGCGAAGCCAGUGGUCUAACCCUUUGGGGAAGAAGCUGUCGAACGUAGGGUUGGUAACUGGGACUAAGUCGUAACAAGGUAGCCGUACGGGAACGUGCGGCUGGAUCACCUCCUUU